rnacentral:rRNA from 1 species
UACAGAGGUCUCAAGCGUUGUUCGGAUUCAUUGGGCGUAAAGGGUGCGUAGGUGGCGCGGUAAGUCAGGUGUGAAAUUUCGGAGCUUAACUCCGAAACUGCAUUUGAUACUGCGGUGCUUGAGGACUGGAGAGGAGACUGGAAUUUACGGUGUAGCAGUGAAAUGCGUAGAGAUCGUAAGGAAGACCAGUGGCGAAGGCGGGUCUCUGGACAGUUCCUGACACUGAGGCACGAAGGCCAGGGGAGCAAACGGG